AACGCACAUUGCGCCCCUUGGUAUUCCGAGGGGCAUGCCUGUUCGAGCGUCAUUAUAACCACUCAAGCCUCGGCUUGGUAUUGGGGUUCGAGGUUUCUCGGCCCUUAAAAUCAGUGGCGGUGCCAUCUGGCUCUAAGCGUAGUAAUUUUUCUCGCUACAGGGUCCGGGUGGUUACUUGCCAAAAACCCCCCAUUUUUUAAGGUUGACCUCGGAUCAGGUAGGGAUACCCGCUGAACUUAA
rnacentral:misc_RNA from 1 species